rnacentral:lncRNA from 1 species
CUCAGUCAACGCCAAGGAACGGUUGUGUGUCAGAUGUGAAAACAUGUUUAUGGGUAUGGGUCAUUGAACAGCCUUGGCGGUCUCAGUGGGAUACCUUGACGAAGGUACCCGUGAUAAUGAUAUUGGCAGGGGCCAAGUUUAAGAAAUUCAUAAGCCGAAAAAUUUUGAUGAAAAGAAAUUGUUUUGUAUAGAUUGAAACAAAAUUUGUGUUAUGAACAUUAUUGUGAUAUAACAUUUUUAUAUUGUCUCCAUCUACUCGGCUUUAGAUGCUUUUGAUGGUAAUUGUUUACUCACUGGGAUUAU